rnacentral:rRNA from 1 species
UGAGGAAUAUUGGUCAAUGGGCGCAAGCCUGAACCAGCCAUGCCGCGUGCAGGAAGACGGUCCUCUGGAUUGUAAACUGCUUUUAUUCGGGAAUAAACCACAUUACGUGUAGUGUGCUGAAUGUACCGAAGGAAUAAGGAUCGGCUAACUCCGUGCCAGCAGCCGCGGUAAUACGGAGGAUCCAAGCGUUAUCCGGAGUUAUUGGGUUUAAAGGGUGCGUAGGCGGCUUAUUAAGUCAGGGGUGAAAGACGGUGGCUCAACCAUCGCAGUGCCCUUGAUACUGAUGAGCUUGAAUGGACUAGAGGUAGGCCGAAUGUGUCAAGGAGCGGUGAAAUGCAUAGAUAUGUCACAGAGCACCGAUUGCGAAGGCAGCUUACUAUGGUUUAAUUGACGCUGAGGCACGAAAGCGUGGUGAUCAUACA